GGAGCCCCAGAUGGCGUGGGGGCAGCCUUAAAAAACCUGGCAGACCGAAUAGUGGCAUACGGCCAAAGCAUCCCAGAUGCAGAUACUCUGUUUCAGCAGCUGACCCUGAACUCCUCGGUAACUCUAUUCCAGGUGUCUGAGGACAAAAUUAAAGAGAGGGGUGAAUUGCUUCCUCCACACCUUAAGCCAGUCCCAGGGACAAUGAAAAUCCACCAACUGAUGUCCACCACUCCUGGGGUAGUUCACACGAGGGAAGUGUCAUGUUUCUGUCAGAAAAAUUGUGAGUGCUUCUCUCCAUCACGCCAUG